CGAACGCUGGCGGCGUGCUUAACACAUGCAAGUCGAACGGAAAGGCCCUGCUUGCAGGGUACUCGAGUGGCGAACGGGUGAGUAACACGUGGGUGAUCUGCCCUGCACUUCGGGAUAAGCCUGGGAAACUGGGUCUAAUACCGGAUAGGAGCCAUUUUUAGUGUGAUGGUUGGAAAGUUUUUUCGGUGUAGGAUGAGCUCGCGGCCUAUCAGCUUGUUGGUGGGGUAAUGGCCUACCAAGGCGGCGACGGGUAGCCGGCCUGAGAGGGUGGACGGCCACAUUGGGACUGAGAUGCGGCCCAGACUCCUACGGGAGGCAGCAGUGGGGAAUAUUGCACAAUGGGCGCAAGCCUGAUGCAGCGACGCCGCGUGGGGGAUGACGGCCUUCGGGUUGUAAACUCCUUUCGCUAGGGACGAAGCUUUUUGUGACGGUACCUAGAGAAGAAGCACCGGCUAACUACGUG
rnacentral:rRNA from 1 species